rnacentral:rRNA from 1 species
GACGAACGCUGGCGGCGUGCCUAACACAUGCAAGUCGAACGGGGUAGAGAGCUUCGGUUUUCUACUUAGUGGCGAACGGGUGAGUAACGCGUGAGGAACCUGCCUUUCAGUGGGGGACAACAGUUGGAAACGACUGCUAAUACCGCAUAACAUCCACGGACCGCAUGAUCUGUGGAUCAAAGCUUUAUGUGCUGAGAGAUGGCCUCGCGUCUGAUUAGCUAGUUGGUGGGGUAACGGCUCACCAAGGCGACGAUCAGUAGCCGGUCUGAGAGGAUGAACGGCCACAUUGGGACUGAGACACGGCCCAAACUCCUACGGGAGGCAGCAGUGGGGAAUAUUGCACAAUGGGCGAAAGCCUGAUGCAGCGACGCCGCGUGAGCGAAGAAGUAUUUCGGUAUGUAAAGCUCUAUCAGCAGGGAAGAAAAAAUGACGGUACCUGACUAAGAAGCACCGGCUAAAUACGUG